CCUACGGGCGGCAGCAGUGAGGAAUAUUGGUCAAUGGACGAGAGUCUGAACCAGCCAAGUAGCGUGAAGGAUGACUGCCCUGUGGGUUGUACACUUCUUUUAUAUGGGAAUAAAAUGUUCCACGUGUGGGCUUUUGUAUGUACCAUAUGAAUAAGGAUCGGCUAACUCCGUGCCAGCAGCCGCGGUAAUACGGAGGAUCCGAGCGUUAUCCGGAUUUAUUGGGUUUAAAGGGAGCGUAGGUGGGUUGUUAAGUCAGUUGUGAAAGUUUGCGGCUCAACCGUAAAAUUGCAGUUGAAACUGGCAGUCGUGAGUACAGUAGAGGUGGGCGGAAUUCGUGGUGUAGCGGUGAAAUGCUUAGAUAUCACGAAGAACUCCGAUUGCGAAGGCAGUUCACUGGACUGCAACUGACACUGAGGCUCGAAAGUGUGGGUAUCAAACAGGAUUAGAUAUCCGGGUAGUC
rnacentral:rRNA from 1 species